rnacentral:rRNA from 1 species
GAUGAACGCUAGCUACAGGCUUAACACAUGCAAGUCGAGGGGUAACAAGAGAAAAGCUUGCUUUUCUUGUUGACGACCGGCGCACGGGUGAGUAACGCGUAUCCAACCUGCCUAUAACUAGGGAAUAACCUUGCGAAAGUAAGACUAAUACCCUAUGAUUUCCUUUGAUGACAUCAGAUUAGGAAUAAAGAUUUAUCGGUUAUAGAUGGGGAUGCGUCUGAUUAGCUUGUUGGCGGGGUAACGGCCCACCAAGGCAACGAUCAGUAGGGGUUCUGAGAGGAAGGUCCCCCACAUUGGAACUGAGACACGGUCCAAACUCCUACGGGAGGCAGCAGUGAGGAAUAUUGGUCAAUGGGCGGAAGCCUGAACCAGCCAAGUAGCGUGCAGGAUGACGGCCCUAUGGGUUGUAAACUGCUUUUAUGCAGGAAUAAAGUUAGCCACGUGUGGUUAUUUGUAGGUACUGUAUGAAUAAGGACCGGCUAAUUCCGUGCCAGCAGCCGCAGUAACAC